AAUGAGACAAAGAAAAGAUAAGUAAAUUUUAGGGGUAAUCAAAGAGAGCUAACAUUUGGUGAAAGUUAGUAUUACGAAUGAAUUGAAAAUGGUCUUGGAGUCGUUAGUGGUAUAAGCAUGUUCGUGAAUACCGCUCGGGUGCGCCCGUUAUCGCGUUAAGGUAUCUCUCUUUUGAUGUACCUGUCAAGUAUAAAGUAGUGAUACUUUAUAGAAUUUGGGUGGUAACACGAGUUUUUCGUCCCAUAA
rfam:Leuconostoc mesenteroides subsp. mesenteroides ATCC 8293, complete genome.